rnacentral:misc_RNA from 1 species
AAGACUAUAGACCUGCGGAGUACCUGCGGAAGGAUCAUUACCGAGUGUUUCUACUCUAAACCCACUGUGAACCUUACCACUGUCGUUGCUUCGGCGGGCGUCCGCGCCCGCCGGCAGCACCCAAACUCUUGAUUUUUAGCAUGCCUCUCUGAGUACUAAAGACAAAACAAUCAAAACUUUCAACAACGGAUCUCU